rnacentral:rRNA from 1 species
UAGCGGGAGGCUUAACNCNUGCNAGUCGAGGGGUAUUGUAGCAAUACAUUAGACCGGCGCACGGGUGAGUAACGCGUAUGCAACCUGCCGUUAACCGGGGGAUAGCCCGUCGAAAGGCGGAUUAAUACCCCAUAAUAUUGGGAUUCUGCAUGGGAUUUCAAUUAAAGCUGAGGUGGUUAACGAUGGGCAUGCGUGACAUUAGCUAGUUGGUAGGGUAACGGCCUACCAAGGCUACGAUGUCUAGGGGUUCUGAGAGGAAGGUCCCCCACACUGGUACUGAGACACGGACCAGACUCCUACGGGAGGNAGNAGUGAGGAAUAUUGGUCAAUGGGCGAGAGCCUGAACCAGCCAUCCCGCGUGCAGGAAGACGGNCCUAUGGGUUGUAAACUGC